rnacentral:lncRNA from 1 species
GGCCAGGGAUGGAUCUAAAGGCUUGCUGCUCUAGCCUUGGGGAAGGCAGGCAAAGGGAAACAAAUCUUUUGUCACUGGGGAAGAGCAAAUGCCCCGUUUUUACGUGUGAAGGGAUCAGAAUGAGGAAAACAAUCCCCAUCACAGAGCAAAGACUACAAGCCCAUCCUGGACCCAGAUCAUUAGUGCUUCCAUGGGGGAGAAGAACUGCCGAAAAAAGAGCAUGUUUAGAGAUCUGGCACACAUACCUCUCUUAAGAUGGAUGGUGAAGCAGAAUGAGAGGAAAAGUCCCAUCUGUCACUCAAAAAUCAGGUAAGUGUCACAGCAGUAUACCAGCAUGGUUGUGACAAGAACAUGGAAGCCCCAUAUCACAAAGAAGCUGAAAGCUGGGCUUGGGGGAGGGACACUGAGGAAGCUCUAUGCUAAGUCCAAAGAUAUCCUAAGGAAUUUGAAGCCAUGGGUGUUCUGAAUAUUGUCAUAGCAACAUAGCACCAAACUCAAGUCAGCUAACUAGAGUGACUUACCGACCCUCCCUGUACCCUUCAUUCACAAAACCUUAGUGGGUUAUGAUCCUCAGCCAUCCACAGCAUAAAUACCAUUCACUGUAGUUACUUCUGACCUAUCAAACUUUAAGUUAGACACAAAAUAGGUAAGAAAAUCUGUCUAUGGUUAAGAGACAGAGCAGCCUCAGAACUCAGAUAUGGUUAGAUGUUAGAAACACUAGAAAAGCAAUGAAAAAUCACUAUUAUUGAUUGCUUUGUGAAACUGGGGGAUUAAAAUCAUAUACAGCUAAGGAAUUUCACUAGAAGGAUUCACACUGUAUGGAAAUUUGAACAGAGUUAUUGUGAAGACCACCCUGAAAAGAGGCAUGACUUGGUGGGGUCAUCAGUAGACUUGACAUAGUGAGAGUUUAGUGAACUUUAUAACAGAUUGGUAGGAAAUGAGUGGGAAUGAAACACAAGGUGAAAGAAUAAUGUAAAAGAAAACAGAGAACUUAUAAUGGCUGCUGGGCCACAUUACAUGGUCUAGCAAAUGUGUAAUGGGAAUUAGAAACAGAAGGCAAGAAAGCAGGGGAAGGGGAUGCAUAAGCCAUGCUCAUUUUUAAUGUAACAGAUACACAUAUGAAGAGAGGUGAGAGUGGACAGAUACUUCUCUCAUUUGAAAUUAUAUAAGCUGGAAGCCUCUUUAACAUGCUGGAAGAUAAUAAUCAAAUGAGGAAUUCUUUACUUAGAAGUUGCAGUUUAAAAUCCAAGUGCAAGUAAGAACGUUUUAAAUAAACAAAAAGCAAUUCCUUCCCUGGAUUACA